ACAACACAAAGAAAGCAAAUUUUAAUCAGUUGAACCAGAAGAUAAUCGAUGAAAGACUAAACAAACGGUAAGCAUAAAAAAAAAUCACGCACCUGGGAUGCAAUGUCGCAAGAGAGAAAAAGAGAGGAGGAAAACGAUAAAGAUAUCAAAAACAACAAUAGAAUGCCGCAACAAAAAGAGGACGUGCCGAAAGGGAGAAAAAGAAUAGUGUCGCGAGAGAAAAAGGAGAAGAGGAAGAGGAAGAUAUCAGAAACUGAAUGUCGCGAAGAGUUUGCGGUCUAUUUAAAAUGAAACUGGGCGUCGGUUUCUCCAGAUAGCCGACGUCUAUGUCAGUUCUGUUACUAAUUCGACGUCCAAGUUAACUUUUCAACUGACCUUUUGAAUCCCACUAGACGUUGGUAACAAUGGAAACCGACGUCUAGGAAGCUGAAACAAUUGACAUUUGAUUUCCUGUUAGAGAUGUUGACGACAGUUGUGAUGGGGCGCCGACGUCUAUAAUGAUGCACAUCAUUACUUACAGGCACAUAGACGUCGGUGCCCCUUCUAUCCAACGUCUAUGGCCCUC
rnacentral:lncRNA from 1 species